rnacentral:rRNA from 1 species
GCGGCGGACGGGUGAGUAACACGUGGGUAACCUGCCUGUAAGACUGGGAUAACUCCGGGAAACCGGGGCUAAUACCGGAUGGUUGUUUGAACCGCAUGGUUCAGACAUAAAAGGUGGCUUCGGCUACCACUUACAGAUGGACCCGCGGCGCAUUAGCUAGUUGGUGAGGUAACGGCUCACCAAGGCGACGAUGCGUAUCCGACCUGAGAGGGUGAUCGGCCACACUGGGACUGAGACACGGCCCAGACUACUACGGGAGGCAGCAGUAGGGAAUCUUCCGCAAUGGACGAAAGUCUGACGGAGCAACGCCGCGUGAGUGAUGAAGGUUUUCGGAUCGUAAAGCUCUGUUGUUAGGGAAGAACAAGUGCCGUUCAAAUAGGGCGGCACCUUGACGGUACCUAACCAGAAAGCCACGGCUAACUACGUGCCAGCAGCCGCGGUAAUACGUAGGUGGCAAGCGUUGUCCGGAAUUAUUGGGCGUAAAGGGCUCGCAGGCGGUUUCUUAAGUCUGAUGUGAAAGCCCCCGGCUCAACCGGGGAGGGUCAUUGGAAACUGGGGAACUUGAGUGCAGAAGAGGAGAGUGGAAUUCCACGUGUAGCGGUGAAAUGCGUAGAGAUGUGGAGGAACACCAGUGGCGAAGGCGACUCUCUGGUCUGUAACUGACGCUGAGGAGCGAAAGCGUGGGGAGCGAACAGGAUUAGAUACCCUGGUAGUCCACGCCGUAAACGAUGAGUGCUAAGUGUUAGGGGGUUUCCGCCCCUUAGUGCUGCAGCUAACGCAUUAAGCACUCCGCCUGGGGAGUACGGUCGCAAGACUGAAACUCAAAGGAAUUGACGGGGGCCCGCACAAGCGGUGGAGCAUGUGGUUUAAUUCGAAGCAACGCGAAGAACCUUACCAGGUCUUGACAUCCUCUGACAAUCCUAGAGAUAGGACGUCCCCUUCGGGGGCAGAGUGACAGGUGGUGCAUGGUUGUCGUCAGCUCGUGUCGUGAGAUGUUGGGUUAAGUCCCGCAACGAGCGCAACCCUUGAUCUUAGUUGCCAGCAUUCAGUUGGGCACUCUAAGGUGACUGCCGGUGACAAACCGGAGGAAGGUGGGGAUGACGUCAAAUCAUCAUGCCCCUUAUGACCUGGGCUACACACGUGCUACAAUGGACAGAACAAAGGGCAGCGAAACCGCGAGGUUAAGCCAAUCCCACAAAUCUGUUCUCAGUUCGGAUCGCAGUCUGCAACUCGACUGCGUGAAGCUGGAAUCGCUAGUAAUCGCGGAUCAGCAUGCCGCGGUGAAUACGUUCCCGGGCCUUGUACACACCGCCCGUCACACCACGAGAGUUUGUAACACCCGAAGUCGGUGAGGUAA